GCCCUUUUCCAGUCGUCAGCAUCUCAUCAGUCCUCCACGGGUUCUCAAAAAUGAUAGCUAGCGGUUCUGUGAUGACUUCGGCCAAUUCAUUAAGUACGCUAGGAUGCCAGCCAUAGGGACCUCUAUUACAGAUUUUAAAUGUUCUAAAGUUCAAGUGCAUAGAACUAGUCAAAUCAGUGCUUUGAAGAGUGUGAAGGGUAACCCAACUGCUCCACUCUUCAGUGAGAUGAAAGUGUCAAGAGGGAAGAAAGUACAACAAAGUCAUGACUUAGGAAUUUAUUCAGCUUCUUCUGAAUGCUGUACCUCCUUAAUGCAGAUCUUCUGCAAAGCUUACUCUGGAGCUUUCUAAAAAUGUUGAUGCUAUUAAAUUUCUUAAUAACAAGUAAAGUCUCUUUGUUUUGCAAAGUAAAUCUUUUCAGGUAAGACUCCUGGCUAAAGAAAUAUAUCUGAUUCUCUAGUCCAUGGGAUGAAUUCCAAACUCAUUAGCAUUUUGAUAAAAAAUAAUGAUCCAGAUUGUUCAAAUCUGAUGCAUUUCCCAUAGUCUCGCAGGUUAAAUAAGGCUUGGUUCCCAGCUAAGGGAGCUUUGGGAGGUGGCC